rnacentral:rRNA from 1 species
UGGGGAAUAUUGGGCAAUGGGCGAAAGCCUGACCCAGCCACGCCGCGUGAGUGAUGAAGGCCUUCGGGUCGUAAAGCUCUGUGGGGAGGGACGAAUAAGUCGGUAGUUAAUAACUGCCGGCCCUGACGGUACCUCCUUAGCAAGCACCGGCUAACCAUGUGCCAGCAGCCGCGGUAAUACAUGGGGUGCAAACGUUGCUCGGAAUUAUUGGGCGUAAAGCGCACGUAGGUGGUCUGUUAUGUCAGAUGUGAAAGCCCUCGGCUUAACUGAGGAAGUGCACCUGAAACUGGCAGGCUUGAGUACGAAAGAGGGUCGCGGAAUUCCCGGUGUAGAGGUGAAAUUCGUAGAUAUCGGGAGGAACACCGGUGGCGAAGGCGGCGACCUGGUUCGAUACUGACACUGAGGUGCGAAAGCGUGGGGAGCAAACA